rnacentral:rRNA from 1 species
AUUGAACGCUGGCGGCAUGCUUUACACAUGCAAGUCGAACGGCAGCGCGGGCUUCGGCCUGGCGGCGAGUGGCGAACGGGUGAGUAAUGCAUCGGAACGUUCCCAGUAGUGGGGGAUAGCCCGGCGAAAGCCGGAUUAAUACCGCAUACGACCUGAGGGUGAAAGCGGGGGACCGAAAGGCCUCGCGCUAUUGGAGCGGCCGAUGUCGGAUUAGCUAGUUGGUGGGGUAAAGGCUUACCAAGGCGACGAUCCGUAGCUGGUCUGAGAGGACGACCAGCCACACUGGGACUGAGACACGGCCCAGACUCCUACGGGAGGCAGCAGUGGGGAAUUUUGGACAAUGGGGGCAACCCUGAUCCAGCCAUGCCGCGUGCGGGAAGAAGGCCUUCGGGUUGUAAACCGCUUUUGUUCGGGAAGAAAUCCUCUGGGCUAAUACCCCGGGGGGAUGACGGUACCGGAAGAAUAAGCACCGGCUAACUACGUG